GACGAACGCUGGCGGCGUGCUUAACACAUGCAAGUCGAACGAGGUCCACUGCGUAGCAAUACAAGGGAAGACCUAGUGGCGAACGGGUGCGUAACACGUGAGGAACUUGUCCCGGUCUCUGGGAUAACAGUUGGAAACGACUGCUAAUACCGGAUGACGUCGGAAUCUCGCAUGGGAUACUGACGAAAGGGUUACUGGAUCGGGAGAGCCUCGCGGCCUAUCAGCUUGUUGGUGAGGUAACGGCUCACCAAGGCAUCGACGGGUAGCUGGUCUGAGAGGAUGAUCAGCCACACUGGGACUGAGACACGGCCCAGACUCCUACGGGAGGCAGCAGUGGGGAAUCUUGCGCAAUGGGCGAAAGCCUGACGCAGCAACGCCGCGUGCGGGAAGAAGGGCCCUCGGGUUGUAAACCGCUUUCAGUAGGAACGAAAAUGACGGUACCUGCAGAAGAAGGUGCGGCCAACUACGUGCCAGCAGCCGCGGUAAU
rnacentral:rRNA from 1 species